GCAAGAUCAGUAAAUAGCCAAUUUUAUUUUCUAAAAUGUCCUAUGCUUUCAAAGCGAACUUUUUUAGGUCAUCUUGUCUUGUGGCUGGAAUUUUAUUUAUUUAUUUUUUGUCUAAAGAACCUCUGCUGUUACAAAAUGUCAAGUAUACUCCUAUCAAAAAUGACCUCUUCCAUCAAAGUUUUAUUUUACAAAUGGAUCUGUAAUUUAGGUGUGGAACUGUAUUC
rnacentral:lncRNA from 1 species